rnacentral:lncRNA from 1 species
CUACUAUAUGCAAACUGCACGUGAAGGAUAUAAGUUAUAAAGGAAUAGAGCUUCUAGAAGGAGAAAUAGUCUCACUGUGUUGCCCAGAUUGGUCUUGAACUCCUGGCCUCAAGUGAUCCUCUUUCCUUGCCCUCCCAAAGUGCUGGGAUUACAGGCUUGAGCCACCACUCCCAGCCAACAGAAUUCUUUUCAACAUAGAAGAUUUUGAAAAUUCUGAGAAGUGUAAGAAAAGAAAAAUUACUUGUAACUCUACUACUCAGAGAAAAACUGCUGUUAAAAUAUUGAGGUUGUUUAUUCUGUUGAUGGAUAUUGGACUGGAGUGAUGAGUGUUCUAGGAUGGGUAUUUGAUGAUGCCAGGGGACUCAAGUAAUGGCUUUGCAUGAAGAUUACACAGUAAAGCUGCACAUUGAUUACCUCAUCUUAUUAGCUGAUGGAGAUGUUUGAGAGGACAAGAUUGCAGGGCUUUCAAGCCUGUACAGCUACCAGGAUUUGAUCCUAAGAGCUUGAUCAUUGUCAUUGCCCAUAGGGACUGUGUUAAGAAUAGUGGUGGUUUACUACUUAAACGCAUGAGAGUGUUAUAACAGUUCCCUAUGUCUUUUGAAUUGUUUAGAUAAGGUUAGGACUUUCAGAUCAACUUGAGUUUUAAUUUUUAGCAUUUAUAGAAUUCUAAAAUUAAUCCUGUUUGUUUUUGUCUUCCUCCACUAAAAUUUAAGUUUGCUGAGGUAGACAGUUUUGUUUCUGGAACCACUAUCCCUCCAGCGGCUAGAACAGUGGAACAUGUUCAAUAAAUAUUCAAUAAAUAUUUUUGAAUAAGUGAAUGAAUGAACAGGUUAAAUGUAAUCUUUAUUUUUUAAUGAACUAUCCUUUCCAGAGACAUACAAAUUGCCAGUUGAUGGCAUUUUUUAUUUCUUUUUGUAAAAAGAGUAUUUUAAAAUUUGAAUGAGUUCUAUCUAACAGAUAACACAGUUGAGUACAUUAAAAGGGACCUUGAACACAAAAUCCAUGUUUUCGUGGAUUAGUAUUUUUGCAGCUUAAAUGGUGAACGAUAGGAUUGUUAGAUGCAAAUAACUCUGGAAAUUAAAGACCUUUAGUUGUAACUCUCCCUAAAAUGUUUGUGAGAGCUUGUAAAAUGUUGUUCACUUUAUUCUAUUAUAAAAGGGCAUUAUAAUAAAUAUGAAGUUUUGAAACCAUGUUCUUUUAAAUGAGGUGAAUUAUAGAACUCUGUUAUUAGCCAUUAUGCUGUGCCCCUUCUUUUAAAGCAUAUCCCUCCACAUACCCUUUCUAAGGACUUGGGGGUAACAAAAUGAGGAGUAAGUGAAGAAAGAAGAAGGCACAGCUUGUCGA